CUAAGUUUGAUGGCGACCGGCGCACGGGUGAGUAACACGUAUCCAACCUGCCGAUGACUCGGGGAUAGCCUUUCGAAAGAAAGAUUAAUACCCGAUGGCAUAGUUCUUCCGCAUGGUGGAACUAUUAAAGAAUUUCGGUCNUCGAUGGGGAUGCGUUCCAUUAGGUUGUUGGCGGGGUAACGGCCCACCAAGCCUUCGAUGGAUAGGGGUUCUGAGAGGAAGGUCCCCCACAUUGGAACUGAGACACGGUCCAAACUCCUACGGGAGGCAGCAUG
rnacentral:rRNA from 1 species